CUGAACGCGCUUCCUUUUAGGUUCGAUGUUUAAUCAACGACGAUCCAACGAUCCUGUUUCGUUCGACGAUUUCGAAGACAACGGCUUCUUACGUCGCAAAUACGACUUACGAUCUAGUUUUCUUCGUCGUAUAACGAUACAGAAACAGAGCGGUAAAUUUCCACAGCAUCGUUUUCUUACAGUAUACGAUAUAUAUGGUAAAAAAAAAAAAACCUAGCGCGCCGAGCACGAUGAAGCACUCGGCGGACGAUAAACCGUCUGGAAGAAAUUCGAGAGGAUAGAGCCAUACGCAGGGACUGCGUCUUAAAAAUGUCCGUGGGAAAUUAAUAGUUCGUAAUAACGAGUGCUACAAAAGGUAAACAGGAACGGUAGAAUUAUAAAAAUAAGAAAGUGUUGCGAUAUUAUUUAAAGAAAAGUGAAAACGGCGAGCGAAAUCCACGAUGGAUGGACCGGAUAGAAGCAGAGGGAGAAAGAUUCUCGAGUUUCACGAUUUCCACGAUCGAAAGACGCUUCACCCCUACGGUCGCCUUUACCCCCGGGAUAAAUAAACACACACGCACGGGAUGUAUAAUGGAGGAACAGGUCGAGCACACAGGUGUCUGAAAGGGGCCAGAAAGGGGCCAGAAAGGCCACGGAUGGAUGUUACGUGCGUCAUCGUUGAUGCGUGUAUGCCUUGAAAAUGGGACUUCUGGUGUCCGACCCCCUACACGACUCUCCUCUUUUAAGGGAUCCGACAAACGUGAACAGAGGCUAGACGAAACUGCUUUUAAAGAGUGUCACCACGCCACGCCACGCCACGCCACACCACGGCACGAAACGCUACGCCAAUCCACGCCACACCACGCCACACCACGCCACACCACGCCACAUCACGCCACGCCACACCACGCCACGCUACACCAUUCUACGCCACGCCGAUACGGUCGCCAGGAAUAAUUUUAUUGUAAUCCGAUGCCUGGUGGCCAGUGGCGUAAGGCGUAACGCGAUGUACGCUUUCGUCGCCGCCUUUGAAAUCGUACAAUUUCACGGUGGCGAGCGUUUUCGAAACGUGACGAUCAGCAAAUAGCUUUGACGGAAACUCGUAUUCAACGAUUUUUACAUUUGCUUAAAAUUUGGAGUUUGGAAUUUUCGGCGAGUCUCCUCGCUCUUCUUAGGUACAUCCUCGCGUACGUUUGAAAUGUGAACGCGCUAAAUCUUAUAACAUUCGUAUACCACUAUUAAGUCUAUUAAGAGAAUCAUUGUAUCACGAAAUAUCUCGUUUUUAACUGAACUCUCUUGGUAUACGAAGAGCGAAAGUUGGGCAAAAUUCUGAUUCUCUUUUGUCUCAACUCUUUCUAUCCGUCUCUGUUUCAUUCGUCUUUCGACCGACCGAACAAAAUCCUAUACUUGUUGCCCUGCUAUUAUUUAACCGUUACGGCGAGUAAUUAUUUUUACUAACCUUAGCUCCGGAUGCAAACGGAUAAAAAAUGAAUAUGCCUUGUAAAAUGGAGGAAAAGUUGUUUUCGUUUUAAAAGAUCAUCGAUAUUAAGGCGAAAGUGAGACAAAAAAUAUGUCAGAACUUUCGAGAAGCGUUUGUUGAUGGCCCAUGUGCCCUAUCGCAUUAGUAUAAACAGAUUACCUCGAAAGGAAGUAGCCAUACAUACAUACAUAUGAUCGGUCAAGUAUGGAGAGGAAGGGCCUGCAGACGGACGAGAGUACAGGAACCUCGCUAAAAGCGUCGUUUGUCAACGGAGCUAUAGAAUAUUUAUGCUGUAAAAUAGUUUGAAAAGCUACUGGAAACUAUCCGAGAGAAGAGGGUCUGAGGACGAAAACGGUCGGUCGUCCUGUAGGAUUUUUAGGCUUAGGAUUUCCCUGGUGUAAGAACAAAACUCCGUCCUAGUCUCGUUCGAACAGCUUUGUUCGUCGUCGUCUGUGACGAGAAACGUGUGAGUGGAUACGAAGGAGACCGUCGCGACGGUCCCUACAUGCAUCGUCGACCGCAACGUUCACCAUAAAGGUCUUCUAAUCUUCCUCGAGGAUCCCAUGCGAUGCUUACAUUUGGAACAUGCUACAAAAUCUGAGGGUAACGUAAGCUGUGUACUCGUGUACUUACGUACAGCAAUUACCGUUCGUAAGUAUAAGAAUACUUUGAUAGAUUUUUGCUGCUUGAGAGGCUGCGCGUAAAUUUUACUAACGAUAAAUCGAAAGCGAAUCUUGUCCUAAGAGUCCUAGCUCCUACAGUCCUAAAUCUUUCUCCUUUUUAUCAUCAUCUGUGAAUAUCAACGUACUAUCCGUACGUUUUAUUACGAACAGACGACAAACACGUUUCGCACGAGCCUCUAAUUACGCAAAAGGAUAUGACUUCAUCGUAGCAUAAAUGUCUGUUGCUGCCGUUAUUCGCAAGACCUUUAAUCCGCUUCUGCGGCACGUAACAGAAACCAAUACACGUAAUAUGUAGUGUAACAGUGUCACGACGAAGGCGCAAACGCUGGAAGACGCGAGCGUGCGUAAGGCCCGAGGAGAACGAUUUACGUUACGAGAGAUCGUUAUUUCGCCGUUAAAAUCGUUAGAAUCGUUAAAAUCGUUAAAAUCGUUAAAAUCGUUAAAAUCGUUGAAAUCGUUAAAAUAAAACGACGCGAUUAGCGUCUCGCUAAUCUAGUUUAGAGUUUAGGUCAGUGUUGCCUCGUUGAAACUUUCUAUCCAUUUUUCUUCCUUCCUUUUGAACAUACGUACCGCGAUUCGAACGUUGCCUGUUUUCGAAUUAGGUGGACAAUUCGACGAUUAUACCGGGGACCAGCUACCGCGUCGUAAUAAUUAAACGAGCAAUCAAGCGAGUUUCUUAACCGUGCGACAUGGUCGAUUUUUCUAAGACGUUGUAACGUCGUGUAUAGAGUGCUAUUCGUAACGAAUAUUUAGAAUAUGUAAUUAGAAAUUUCCAAGACUAUAAGCAUCGCUUGAAAUUAGUAUCGAUGACUUUUGAUUUAUCUUUGCUCGCGGAAUAACCCGCGACUACUUCAUUUGGUUUCGUCUGGAAUUUUCAAAAAAUUAUUUCAGAAUGCUCCUUAUCGAAUGCCGUGAUUAAUAAUAAUAAAGCGAUUAAAACUUGAAUGUUGCAACGAACAUGAAUGCGUGUUUCUUAUUUCGCCGUCUUUUUCAUACUUUUUCAUACUUAUCGGUAUCGUUGUUAUUAUCAUCGUAAACAUUUUAUUUGCAUAUUUUACUCAUUCUGAUACGCAUCUAAUAGUAAGAAAGUUCUGUUUAUCGUCGUUUAGGUUCUGUAACGUAGGAAGAGUUUAGGAAACACGAAGUGUUCCACGUUGCACAAAUCUGAUAACGAAAAGAGGCGUACGAAGACGUAAAGUGCCUUAACCCGUUGUAAAAAAAAAUUAAGAUAGCGUUGAACUGUUUCCCUCGAGAACAUAACGCUUCUUUCUUUAUCCGAAGAACGAUAGAUAGAGCUUGGUUUAAUUUAUAGUAGGUACGUAGGUUUCGGUUAGAAAAGGGAUCAGAUUUAUUCCAGCUUACUGGCAGAGCGUCUGGUUUCAAUAACGAAUCGUUUCAGCAGCAAUUACGAUCGUAUAACUAUGUAAAACAAGGACAAAUCGAUUAUUUUUAAACUAAAAUUUCCUUUCUACAGAGUACUUAGGUUAGUAAUAAACUUGGGGGUUUUCAGCUUUACGGUGAAGAGAAAUUUCAUCUCCGCAAAUUCUUGUCCCAUUAAAAUUUAUAUUACGUGUUUAUUACGGUAUCGUUGUCUUCGAUCGUACGAACCAACGAAACCUUCAUUUUUAGGCUACAGCUUGCAUCACAGUUAGCAUUAUCGCGUCGUCAUUGCCGUCGCCGAAGCUGACGAAACGGUUUGAUCACGUUCUCUUCCGCUAUUUGACAGUUGUGGCAUAGUAUCGUCGAGAAUUAUCGGUUCUUUUCCUCGAUGGCUUCGGUUCCUGGUAUUUUAUUGGAAGGAGCGAACAGGCCGCACAGGGUGCCUGGCGUGCACUUGGUCAAACAACGAGGUCUCUAUGGAGGCCCCUAGUUUAUUGGCGCUUCUAAUUCAAGAGCGGAAGUGGCCGAAAAGCAACGCUGAAAACAGACCUCCCGGAUUAAAAUAGGUAACCAUAACUGUUCGGCUUAAACGUUUCGUAUUAAUAAUUAA